GACGAACGCUGGCGGCGUGCUUAACACAUGCAAGUCGAACGGUAAGGCCCUUCGGGGUACACGAGUGGCGAACGGGUGAGUAACACGUGGGUGAUCUGCCCUGCACUUCGGGAUAAGCCUGGGAAACUGGGUCUAAUACCGGAUAGGACCACUGCCUGCAUGGGUGGUGGUGGAAAGCUUUUGCGGUGUGGGAUGGGCCCGCGGCCUAUCAGCUUGUUGGUGGGGUGAUGGCCUACCAAGGCGACGACGGGUAGCCGGCCUGAGAGUGUGACCGGCCACACUGGGACUGAGAUACGGCCCAGACUCCUACGGGAGGCAGCAGUGGGGAAUAUUGCACAAUGGGCACAAGCCUGAUGCAGCGACGCCGCGUGAGGGAUGACGGCCUUCGGGUUGUAAACCUCUUUCAGCACCGACGAAGCGCAAGUGACGGUAGGUGCAGAAGAAGGACCGGCCAACUACGUGCCAGCCGCCGCGGUAA
rnacentral:rRNA from 1 species